UGACGGCGCCCGCGACCACGACAAGGAUGGCGACCAUCUCUUCGGAAGCCUAACGAUCCAGCACAGGUCCCAGCCCUGCGCAGCCGCCCGCCAAGCCGCCAGAGGACCAGCCGAACGCCAAAGGCUAGGAGUGGACGAUUGCAGGAAGUUUCCAACUCGCCGACUUCGCCCCACUCCACUGGCUCCGGCUUGGCGGUCCCCGGCUUCGGGGUGCCCUCCGUCCCUCCCCCUCGCGUCGUCGCGUUCUCCCUUGGCAUAACCCCCCGCCGCGGGGCCGCAGACCCCCUAAGCGCUUCGUGCGCUCUCCGCGCCCUGCCCACCGGCCCCGACCCCUCCCCCGACCGGACGGGAGAGGUGGGAAGUUUGGGGGCACCCGCUGUGGGUGUCCCAUUUGCGGGGCUGGGCUCCGGGGAGCCGGCGCGCGGCGCCCGCUCCCUGCCCGCCAGCCGUUUGGGAGCUCAGGCGCGGGCAGCCGCUUUUGUUCCCGGGAAGGGCGGAGCUGCGUCCCGGGGAGACACGCGUUGCAGCCGGCAGCGUAGUUGCUCCCCGCUGGCCGGCCGCUCCGGGAGGGCCCCGCAGCGGAGGGUCGGGGCUGGGGCGGGCUGGGGAGGGGGCCCAGGGCUGGGGCCGGUUCGGCCUCCCGGGUGGCGCGCGGGCCGAGGAGCUAGGAGGACCGCCGCGCCGCUUGUCCUUUGGAUAAACCUUGGCGGUUCCUCCUCUGGUGUCCGUGGACCCCGCCGCGGCGUUCUCCAGGGCCGCGGACCUUUGCCCACCGGUUGCGCCCGCUGCCCCGGGCAGAAAGGACCCCCCUCCUCCCGGACCGAGCCCCGAGCCCCAUGGAGCAGGCAAGGGCCAGAGUCCCGGGGCCGAGGCCCGACCGGCGGACGCUCCGGGACCUUUUCCCGCCCCCGAGGGUGCAUGUCCGGCCGGGGCCGGGACUGGCUGGGAAACCGAGGCCAGAAGAGGUCGCAAUCCAGCGAGGAAUCGGAUGUGGACCUUGCCUGCAAAUCCUGGUUGGUCAUGGUGGAGACUGUAAAGCAAUCAUUCUCAAGGAGGGGCUUUUUCACGCAGUAUGCCUGGAGAGAGGCUGCACCACCACCGCGUUCCUCCCCGAUGAGUCCAGUGAGCCACGGCUGCGGGCUACGGUGUUGUGGUGCUCGGGUGUGUUGGAAGGAAAUGGUUCCCGAGGCAUGCCAGCUAGCACCUGACCUACAAGAUUCCAGCUGUUUAACUGCCAUCACAAAGGCUCAUGAUGUGUUGACAGUAUUUCUGCCUGCUGCUCUGAAAAUUCAAGGAAAUAAAUACCUGACAUUUAUUGAAUGCCAGAAGCUGUUCUAAGAACUUUCUAUGUAUUAUCUAUUUUAGUCAUUAUAAUAUCCUUAUGAAAUAGGCACUUUUAUCCCCAUUUUACAGAUGAAUAAAAUAAGGCACAGAAGGGUUAAGCAACUUUCACAGGUAGAAAGCUGCACAGCCAGGAUUUAAGCCCAAGCUCUUAACCACUGCACUACAUCAAUGCAGCAAAGGCUGAAUGAACCAGAGUAUUUGAUUUACUUAGCUCUUAUGCUGGAAAGAUGGUGAGGCUUUUGCUCAUGGUCUGUAUUCAAGCACAAAUACCAAAAUCAAGGACACCUUUGCAUUGGUGCUCCAUAGGAGGUUUCCUUUUUUGUUGUUUAGAGAGAAGGUCUUACUCUGUUGCCCUGGCUGGAGUGCAGUGGUGCGAUCACAGCUCACUGCAGCCUUGACCUCCAGAGCUCAAGCAAUCCUCCACCUCAGCCUCCUGAGUAGCUGGGACUAUAGGUGCGCACUUCCACACCCAGCUAAUUUUUAAUUUUUUUUUUUUUGCCACUUCACAAAUAUUUUAUCAAAAAACUCACCUGAGAAAACUCAAAGAAUCACAGUAAUAAGCUGUCUAUGCCAUAUUUUUUUUUUCCUUUUUUGAAAAUGCCAAGAAGCUACUACUAAGAAUGUAUUCAAGAGACGGAAGUUCCAAGAUUCAUCACAGGGUCAGGUGGGCUCAACUUAGUUUCCUGGGCCCUCUAUAACACUUCAUGUUCAGAAUUGUCUCCAAAUAAAAGCAAUUUAAGGGAACAUUCAAUAUGGGUGUCUUUGCUGUGCUUGCAGUCUUAAUUCUGUGGACACUGAUAUUCUAUCAAUGGAAAAUUGAGCCUUUAGUGAACUUGAAUACCCUGUUCCCCAAUCACUGCCCAGAGAGCAGUUUCUGAGCAGCCAACAUGUCAGAGGCAGGAAAACAGCAGCUAAAAGGCAAAGGAGAAAAAUGGAAGACACCUGCCUUUACACGUGUAUUUUAAGCUAAAUAACCAUGAUAAAAUAUCACCAACACCCAUUUUUUGUAACUUCUUAAUUGUCCCACAUCAAAGAUAAGUAUGGACAACUGUAAUUGGUUCUUAUAUAUCCCUAAAUUCCUAAUUGAAAUCAAUUCCAAUAAAUCGUUGGUGCUCAGUAGAAAAAUGCAAAAUUUAAAUAUAUAUAUUCAGUAGAAGUUACCUUCAUAACUUGUGGGGCAUUAUCAAAAUAUAAUUGGAAACCCCUCUUUGUAACCAACUAACCAAAUGAUCUUUUCUUAAAGGCACAAAUUAAAAGGUGGCAAAACAACCAUAUAUUUAGUGUGUGGGAUCACAUUCUCCUAAAGAGCAUCAGGAAAUGUAGGUAGAAGUCAAUGUUGUAGCCUAGGUUAGAAGGCCCUGCUUGCUGGGAGUUAACUCUGGUUAUUGGAUUGUGGGGAGGUGUGGCAGGGAAGGUGGUCAGGGGAACACGGGCACUCCAGAAGCUCGGAGCAGCAGCUCAUCAGCUGUGAGGCACCGUCAGCAUCCUUGCGUCCUGUGUGGCUGUGAGGCACCGUCAGCAUCCUCGCGUCCUGUGUGGCUGUGAGGCACCGUCAGCAUCCUCGGUCCUGUGCGGCUGUGAGGCACUGUCAGCAUCCUCGCAUCCUGUGCAGCUGGGCCAGGACAAACUGGCUGAACUGCAGCUCUGCUUGCAGCUUGCUAGAAAUACAACUUGGUAACAACAGGAGAUUGUGGACACACUAUUUUUCGUUAGUUUAUUACAAAACUACAGAUACAAUACACAAAAUUCUAAUUCCGAAAUCCUUCUACAUUUUUU
rnacentral:lncRNA from 1 species